UCGUCAUGAAAUCCUCAUCCCAAAAGUAACGCGACCAGGGGCGCGGUAAAACCCUAUUUCCCGGGCUCAUGACGAUUUAGAUUAGUAAAUUUUUCUUUUCUCAGAAUAUGCACAAACCAGAACAAACCAAUUUUGUCCUUGUAGAUAGUCUGUAAAUAUAGCUUCUUAAUGUUUCGUGUGCGAUUAAGCCUAUUUUAGUCAAUACAAUAGGCUAGAAUCCGAUUUGAGUGUUUUGCCGUAGGAUUCGUGGAAGCUGGACAAGGACAUUGGUCAGAGACGAUUUGUGAGGUCGAAGAUUUUGCCAGGCGCAGCUGGCGUGAAGUUUAGUUCAGCAUUAGGAUUAUGCAGUUUGGAGGAUAGAGAAGAUUUGGCAAGCGACCAAGGCUUGCGUAUGAGUUUGGUUUUAGUUGAGGAAAAGAUGUAACUUGAGGUCUGCUCAAGAGUUAGGUUGACCGACUUGUCUCUGACCAUCAUCCUAGAAGGAUGACUGAAGAUUUUGUGAAUUUUUCAUAAAUCGUUUGAUCACCGAUUUAUGAAAAAUUCUUCCGCUACGGUAGAGUUGUGUUACGUUUAAGUUAUUUCGUUAGAUAGUAUGCUUUGAGAAUCUAAUCAGUAAGUUAGUAAACGAUAAAGAAACACAACAUUGUAAAAGCACAUUGCUCCGUGAAACACAUUUCGAGAACCUCUGCACAGCCUUUUCAUGCCACCACAGACAGCAGGUAAUAGCUAUCAUUCAAUGAUGAUCAGCCAAUCAUUAGCUUCAGCAUACAAGACCGGUCGAUGGGGGAAAAGCGGCAACACAGCAAACUCACAUCACCACGACGCCGUUGGUAACAGCCUCCACACAAUGAGAGAGAACUUUUCGUUGGAGUUGAUCGAGCACACACACGAACCACGCCGUGAGAAUGGAAUAGUGUAUUGCACUUCGAGAGAAGGCGAAAUAUGAUCGACGAUCGGCUCCAUCAUCCCGCCACAUGGAGGGGAAGCACACGACGACCCGACACUCACACAGUCUACACUCGGUGGCGAGGCGAGCUCGCAAUCGCAAGCAAAACGGGAUUGCUUCAAUCGACGUCCAUCCGUGAAGCAAGUCAAGUGUGCAGUCCGUUUCUCCUUUUCGGAAUCCGCAAAACGACAGUUCGGUCAUACGGGAACGCGUGAAUAAGUGCCGGUGAUAUUAUCCAACGGAGAAUCUGUCCCCGCCAGCAUCAAUCCGGAGACCAUUGAGCAAAUAAAGCGAGUCACCACGCCAAGACCACGCGGACAGAAUUAUUCUAGAAUCCGAACUUUUACAACGAGAUUGAUCGUCGGCCAGCGGUGUAGGAUCCCGCAGUGACGAGAGCAGAUCACUGACACGCGGAACGGAUAGGAUCAUUCGAUCGGAGGAAGACCUAAUCGGAAGGCAGAAACGGGAGACCCGAAGUCAGCCAAACAGAUUACCAUCGAGUGCGAUUCGUGUUCCGUCCGAUUACACAGCCGGAGUUAAGGACGUUCGGAACCGGUAGGGCAGAGGCGACAGAAACCGGACCUCGUCGUAGAUCAGAGAGCCCCUCAAGAGGGUAAGUUUGAUGCCGCCAGACCUGCAGAGACGUAUCGAUAACGCCCCAACGCCUGCAGGGCUCUUUUUUCUUGUAGUUUCAUCCGCUCAACGAGCGCCGAGGACGAGCGAGGUCGCGAGGGUCGCGAUGCCGUAAAUCGAUAUUCCGUCCGGCCUAUCACCGAUUGCGAGUUGGUCAGAAGGAGGAACACCAACCAAACCGACGCGGUCGACGCCAAUACACGCAUUGAGAGGAGUUUUGGUCGGCAAUCCGUCGAUCGAGGGUCCGCAGACAUGUUCGCUGGGAAAACAACGGCGGCGCAGCAUCAGCGGAGCCAAGGAAGGCCCACACUGGAAGGAUGUCCGGUGGAGUAAGAGCAUGCAGAGUCCGUGAGUGCUAGAAUUAAGAGCAAUGUUGUUAGCCUAGGAGUUAAGCGCAGCGUAGGAGGUAAUAGGACCCCAGAAUAGGAGGCCAUGUUUGGCGAAAUACUAAAUACAUGUAUUUAA